CCAAUACAUGUUGCCAUAAUUAUUUUUAUAAUGUAGUGGUAAUGACGCAGGUGUGACCCUCUAAUGAGCUUGAUGAUGUGCGUCGGUGCCUCCCUCGGGUGCCGCCACCACCACGCCCCUCACUCGUGUCCUCCUCUACUCUACCGCCUGACUCUUGUUUCUCUUGUACAUAAAUCCAGUCGCUUCCUCCUUAUCGCCCGCUUGAUGCCGCUCUCAUGUUUAAUAAUAGAUCUUAAUAAAAACUAUUUUAGAUAAA